UAUGAAGAACGUAGCGAAAUGCGAUAAGUAAUGUGAAUUGCAGAAUUCAGUGAAUCAUCGAAUCUUUGAACGCACAUUGCGCCCGGCAGUACUCUGCCGGGCAUGCCUGUUCGAGCGUCAUUUCAACCCUCAAGCCCUGCUUGGUGUUGGGGCCCCACGGCUGCCGUGGGCCCUGAAAGGAAGUGGCGGGCUCGCUACAACUCCGAGCGUAGUAAUCCAUUAUCUCGCUUAGGGCGUUGGGCGGCGCUCCAGCCGUUAAAGAACCAUCUUUAACUCAAGGUUGACCUCGGAUCAGGUAGGAAUACCCGCUGAACUUAAGCAUAUCAACAAGCGGAGGA
rnacentral:misc_RNA from 1 species